AAUAAACCAAUCUUUUACUUUUUACCUAUAAUAUUUGACUUUUUGUCUUAUUUAAAUUAUUUUGUGAUUAACAUUUUUGUUUUUAAUAGAUAAUAAAUUAUGAAUAGUACUCUACAUGUGACUAAUUUUUUUUAAUUUCUUAAAAAAUUUUCAAAUAAGACGGAUGGUCAAACGUUGGACAUGGAAACCGAAAGUUUGCUUUAUU
rnacentral:pre_miRNA from 1 species